rnacentral:rRNA from 1 species
UGAGGAAUAUUGGGCAAUGCCCGCAAGGGUGACCCAGCAACGCCGCGUGGAGGAUGAAUGUCGUAGGAUUGUAAACUCCUGUUAGAGGGGAAGAAUAGUACCGGUUGGACCGGUAUAUGACUGUACCCUCAGAGAAAGCCCCGGCUAACUACGUGCCAGCAGCCGCGGUAAUACGUAGGGGGCAAGCGUUGUCCGGAUUUACUGGGUGUAAAGGGCGCGCAGGCGGGAUAAGAAGUCAGUGGUGAAAUCCUACAGCUUAACUGUAGAACUGCCUUUGAUACUUUUAUUCUUGAGUCCGGGAGAGAGACGGAAUUCCAGGUGUAGUGGUGAAAUACGUAGAUAUCUGGAAGAACACCAGUUGCGAAGGCGGUCUCUUGGUCCGACACUGACGCUGAGGCGCGAAAGCGUGGGGAGCAAACA